rnacentral:misc_RNA from 1 species
GUUUCUAGCGUCAAUGAAGUUGCACUUUUAGUAUCCGAGUAUGAAAAGUACAAGCAAUACGAACAGGUCUCGUACAGACAAGAGCGCCUAACCUCUCAAACAAUAAAUAAAUAAAUAGUAGCAAUUUUAUAAAAAAAAAAAAUGACAGCAUAUAUUAAUUCGCAAAAAUUAAGAAUGAUUAUAAAGGAGGAAGAUUGGGAGAAAUUUUUAGAAAAUGUCAAACCCAAGCAUUUUGUCAAACAAGAAUCAGAGAUAUUGUUUGAUGUGAGUAUUUUAGCACAGAUAUGUCAGACACUUAUAACCGAAACCACUCCGGAUGUGAUUAAAAUUUUAUGUUUGAAAUGUCUGGGUAACUCUUGCCUCGACACUUACAAAUAUAAACAACACGCAAUGGGAAAUAUGGAAUCUGAUGAAUACAACAAAAAUUUGUAUGAAGAAUUAGCUAAGAGUGAUUUAUGCGAACAUGGGCACAAGCAAAAUUGCGACUAUCCACACGAUUCUCAUUUUCCUUAUGAUGGAGUUAUAAAAUGGACUAUAAAUUAUAUUAAAAUUCAUAAUAAAUCUAUAGAUUGCUUAAGCGAUAGCAAACUAGAUAUCUUUAGGCUCAGCAUUCAAUUCUUAUGUAAUUUAUUUACAUAUGCAUGUUCAAGUAUAAGUAUAUCUAUAGACAACGAUAUACUGAGAUAUUUAAACUGUGAGAAUUUAAAGCAAGCUAUUUUGAAUAGCAUGCAAUCUAAUCAUAAACUUCUUGCCAAUGCAGCAUGCAUAUAUGUACAUAAUGCGCUGAACAAAUUACAUUACAACUAUUUUGCAAAUAAUGAGAAAUGUUUAUAUUCACACUUAUUAAAACCUAUUAAAGAAGGUUUUACAUCUGCAAAAGAUGCAUUGUUGUUCCUGUUACAACAGUCAAAUAAAUUUGAAAACAUAUACAGUAACAUGGCUAUAAACGAAAAGUUGGAUUUACUUGAAAUUAUUUAUAAUGAACUCUGGGAGUCUUGGCAAUCUCAUCACAAUACAGUGCUCACAGAUACUCAGGCUGAGUUUCUAGCAUUAACAUUUUGUAAGAAUAGUGAUCUUAUUUUAAAAACUGUAGACACAUAUGUGGACAGUGUAGAUCCUACAGAAGUUGUUUUUAUCCUUAAUAUUUUGGGACUUAUUACUACGCGAUACAAGUUUUCAGAAAAUGCCAGGCCUUUACUUAUUAAUUGCAAAUAUCUCUUGAUGUCUUUACAUAUGAUAGGAAAGGAAGGAGAUAACUAUUUUACUCCAAUAACAAAUUUAAGUCAAGUGGCACCAAAUAGUCAAGAAGAAACAAUUGAUGUAAAUUCGCAGAUGUAUGAUACUGAAUCAAUGAUAGUCAAAGUAUCAAAGUACAAUCUGCAAGAUCAUCCUGCAUAUGGUUUUAAAGUAGGAUUAAUACAAGUUAUUGCAAAUAUGGUACACAAGGACAAAAUGUGUCAAGAUCUCUUUCGCGAAAUAGACGGAAUUCCAUUACUUUUGGAUUGCUGCAACAUCGACGCGAGGAAUCCGCUUAUAUUGCAAUGGACCAUCUUCGCUUUGAGAAACCUGUGUGAAGGAAACCCUGACAAUCAAGAUAUCAUUCGAAAUUGUAAAAAGGAAGGAGUAGCCGAUAAUCCUGUAUUAGAAAAGAUGGGCUUGACUUUGCAUGAAGAUGCGGAUGGGAAUUCGAUUCGAAUCGCUCCUUUACGCCUUAAGAAAUAAUUAAGAAAAUUUGAAUUAUUUCCUGAGAGAUCGCGAUCUUAAAUUCAAUAUUUAUUAAAUUAUUCAUCAUAACUUUUUGUGUCUAAGAUACAAUGAUCGGUUUAACGAUAUAUGUAAAUAAUAUAAUUGUUAUUCCCAUUAAAUAGAUUGGAAAUAUAUCCUGCUAUAUCGUUCACUGAAUUACCAUGUACAAUCUGUACUAUUAAACGAAAUACGAUAUCGUGUUAUAUAGAGAGAUAUUUUAUUCACGGUCGAGUGAUUUAUGAUACAAUAAAAACUACACUACUAGAGUUCAUAGUCUAUUAACAGCUGCAAAUAUAAUAUUCUUCGACAAAUCAAUAAAUAGAUUCACGAUAAGUAAAUAUCCACCUUUCUCCAUGCUCUUUCACGAAAUCGCUCAAAAUAGAGAUGUCGAGGUUCAUUUGCAUUUAAGAAUUAUAGAACCUUU